UAAGACAGAGGUGCCAAGCGUUAGGCGGAAUCACUGGGCUUAAAGCGUGUGUAGGCGGAUGCCUAAGUACCUUGUGAAAUCCCACGGCUCAACCGUGGAACUGCUUGGUAUACUGGGUGUCUUGAGCCACUUAGGGGUUACCGGAACAAACGGUGGAGCGGUGAAAUGCGUAGAUAUCGUUUGGAACGCCAAUGGUGAAAACAGGUAACUGGGAGUGCGCUGACGCUGAGACACGAAAGCCAGGGGAGCGAACGGGAUUAGAUACCCCGGUAGUCCUGGCCGUAAACGAUGUCGACUAGAUCGUGGCAGCUCUGACGUUGUCACGGUCGAAGCAAAAGUGCUAAGUCGACCGCCUGGGAAGUACGGUCGCAAGGCUA
rnacentral:rRNA from 1 species